GAUGGAAGAACGCAGCGAAAUGCGAUAAGUAAUGUGAAUUGCAGAAUUCAGUGAAUCAUCGAAUCUUUGAACGCAUCUUGCGCUCCUUGGUAUUCCUUGGAGCAUGCCUGUUUGAGUAUCAUGAGCAAAUCUCAAAGUCAAUUCCUUUUGUUGAUUCAAUUGGUUUUGCUUUGGACUUGGAGGCCUUGCAGAUUUCACAGUCUGCUCCUCUUAAAUGCAUUAGCUGGAUCUCAGUAAUUAUGCUUGGUUCCACUCGGCGUGAUAAGUAUCACUCGCUGAGGACACUGUUAGAAAGGUGGCCAGGAAAAUACUGAUUGAACCGCUUCUAACGGUCUAUUAAGUUAGACAAUUACCCUUAAGUUUGAUCUCAAAUCAGGUAGGACUACCCGCUGAACUUAAGCAUAUCAAUAAGCGGAGGA
rnacentral:misc_RNA from 1 species